rnacentral:misc_RNA from 1 species
AAGUCGUAACAAGGUUUCCGUAGGUGAACCUGCGGAAGGAUCAUUAACGAGUUUUUGAAAGGGGUUGUCGCUGGCCGAAACCUAAGGCAUGUGCACACCCUGCUCAAUCCACUCUCAAACCCCUGUGCACUUACUGUAGGCUAUGGUGGGAUAGCUGGCUUUGGUCAGUUUGAAAGCCUUACCUAUGUUAUUACAAACGCUUCAGUUCAAGAAUGUUAUACCGCGUUUAACGCAUUAUAUACAACUUUUAGCAACGGAUCUCUUGGCUCUC